rnacentral:lncRNA from 1 species
CAUAUAAUUGCCAUGAAUAAUAUAGAAGUAGAAUUGUCAGUAAAUAUUUUUAAUAUGAUGUUAUUUUCUUCAUUCUGUAGGAAAAACAUCAGAAAGAGGCUCAUUUUCCCUGUACAGCAGAGAUACUGGAUUACCAGGCUGUCAAUCUGCUCUUCUGAGACAAGAUCUAGGGCUUGGGAGCCCAGCCCAACUAUCUUCUUCAGGAAAACCAGGAACACCAUACUACUCAUUCUCUACCACAAGUUCCAGGAGAAGACCACUCCAUGACUCUGCAGCCCUUGGUGAGUAUAUCACACAGCAAGUCCUGUCCCACAAGAAACAGCCUGCAUGCCCACCCGCCUGCCUACUUGCUUCCCAC